rnacentral:ncRNA from 1 species
AGUAAAUAGCUCUAAAUGUGAAAAUGAUGGGAUUCAACCGAGCACAGGUAAACGGUGGAAGUAACUUUGACAUUCUUAGGGUAGCCAAAUGCCUUAUCAUCUAAUUCAUGACGCGCAU